rnacentral:rRNA from 1 species
GUCAUGUUCUGCGUUUUGGAUAAGAUUUUUCGUUCUUGGGGUAUGGGCUCCGGCCUAUCAGCUUGUUGGUGAGGUAAUGGCUCACUCAAGGCGUCGACGGGUAGCCGGCCUGAGAGGGUGACCGGCCACACUGGGACUGAGACACGGCCCAGUACUCCUACGGGAGGCAGCAGAUGGGGAAUAUUGCACAAUGGGCGAAAGCCUGAUGCAGCAACGCCGCGUGAGGGAUGACGGCCUUCGGGUUGUAAACCUCUUUUAGCAGGGAAGAAGCGAAAGUGACGGUACCUGCAGAAAAAGCGCCGGCUAACUACGUGCCAGCAGCCGCGGUAAUACGUAGGGCGCAAGCGUUAUCCGGAAUUAUUGGGCGUAAAGAGCUCGUAGGCGGUUUGUCGCGUCUGCUGUGAAAUCCCGAGGCUCAACCUCGGGCCUGCAGUGGGUACGGGCAGACUAGAGUGCGGUAGGGGAGAUUGGAAUUCCUGGUGUAGCGGUGGCAAUGCGCAGAUAUCAAGGGAGGAACACCUGAUGGCAGAAGGCAGAUCUCUGGGCCGUAACUGACGCUGAGGAGCCGAAACGGGUUGGGGGAGCCAAACAAGGGCUUAGA